rnacentral:rRNA from 1 species
GGCUCAGACGAACGCUGGCGGCGCGUUUAAGCAUGCAAGUCGAGCGGCAAGGGCCUUCGGGCCCCUAGAGCGGCGGACGGGUGAGUAACACGUGGACAAUCUGCCCCCCGGCCCGGGAUAGCCCAGGGAAACCUGGAUUAAUACCGGAUGAGACGGGACCCGCGAUGGCGGGAUCCGGGAAAGGCGCUGCGGCGCCGCCGGGGGAUGAGUCUGCGUCCCAUUAGCUAGACGGCGGGGUAACGGCCCACCGUGGCGACGAUGGGUAGCCGGCCUGAGAGGGUGGACGGCCACAUUGGAACUGAGACACGGUCCAGACUCCUACGGGAGGCAGCAGCUAAGAAUCUUCCGCAAUGGGCGAAAGCCUGACGGAGCCGACGCCGCGUGAACGAAGAAGGCCGUGAGGUUGUAAAGUUCUUUUCGGGAGGGGAACAACCGUGGCAGGGAAUGGCCGCGGGAUGACGUGAAUCCCGGAAUAAGCCCCGGCUAACUACGUGCCAGCAGCCGC